UGGAUCAUCAAUGUGGCUGGCAAAGCAGUCAAACAGACAAGAAGCAUGGUGAUGGAUAAUUUUGCUCUUGAUGGGUAUCAAGCCAUAGCUGUAGGACACCAGGUAGGCUCAUGCUGGGAGUACAUUGGUCUUCUAUCUUUCAGAGAUGACCUUAGAAGUGAUAGUGCAGAUUCCAUUGAUAGCCUUAUCGAUUUGGGUUUGGAUAUAAGAAUCCCCACAGAAAGGCCAUUGUUUUGACUACAAAGCAAGUAUGUGCAAAGCUUGGAAAAGUAGGCAUCAAUGUGUUACCUGCCCACUCGGUGUUUGAUUUAGCUCGUAAUAACAGAUAAGUUCACUUAAACAUCAAUGGGAUUUCUGAUCUCUUUCCAGGUCUGUUCUUAUUUGGAGCGGUGUCCAGUUUUCACACUCCCCCCCCCCCAACCCCCUCCAAAGGAAAUCUUUGGAAGAAUUUUCUGUUUAUGUUGACAGUUUGAGUAGUACUUCUAUGCUCUCAAGACAGUUACAGCAUACAUUUUUAAUAACAUUAAGGCUUUGAUUUGCAGAAGGCACAAAGGCUCCAGUCUUACCAUUUUGCUAUCUUGAUUUAUUUAGUGCAGACGAUAACAGUGAUAUAGUGAGAAGGCUAAGAGAUUUCGGAUGGCAUUGCGCAAUGAUUGGCCUGUCCUGUUACCUAUUUCAUCAGCUGUGCAAAUCAGUAGGGAGAUGUGUCAAAUUAUGAGGGGUUACACGAUCUACACUGUGUCAUCAACUGUGUGUCUUGUGAGUCCAAUUAUGACAGUUGGUAUCCAUGUCAUUUUACUCUUGUGGAACUUUAACUUGCCAAGUUUCCUGGCUUUGGUGAUUGCCACUUUUAGCUAUUGUACAUCCUUUGCAAUAUUAUUUGAAAGGGUGGAACUGAGUAAUUCACCAGAUAGAUAGAGAGUUAAGAAAAUCAUUGCAAGCGGUGUUGCUUCUGGUAGCUACAUAAUUCUGAGUACAGCCAUUUUUUUCAGGGCUGCAACACUUCCAGACUUCUUUUCAUAUAAAUUCUGAGGUAGAUCGCUGAUGGGCUCCGAUGAAGAAAUUAGAGCUGCUUUGUUCCUUCAGAUGAGCAUAGUGAACCAGGCUGUACUGUUUGUUCAUUCUGACAACUGCUACCUUAUCAGAUGUCCUGGACCUGUUGUAGCAUGUACUUUUAUUUUUACUCAGAUGCAUGAUAAUUUGGCGCAGGAUCAAUGUGUCUGGCUAGGGAUGAUUGGCUAACAGUUGACAAUGUUAAGAGUUAAGCCAUUGUGGCAACCCAUAAAACUGUAUAUGGUGACUUGGAUUUGGCACUACCAAAGGGUGUUGGUUGCCUCAGAGCAGGAUUGAUAUGGUUGUACAACUUUGUGGUGCUCAUGACCCCUGUUUUAAUUUGUCACACAUGGAGGCGUGCAAACAUGACUAGUGAAAAGUUGCUGACAAUAUGCAUACAUUCAGCCAUCUUGCGUAUAGCUUUGCUCUGGUCACUGUAUGCAAUACUUGAUGUCAGGCUGCAGCAGCCGGGCUCUACUUAGAUGCCUCAAGUGUAGGAAAUAUUCUUGUAGCCAGUCAUUUUUAAGUGUAUAACCUGUAAAUCCUUCAAGUAAAUAUAUCUGGAUCGCAAAGUUAUACAUCGAUCCCUCUUUUGUCUUUAUUCAGAAAACACAAUU